CCUACGGGUGGCAGCAGUGGGGAAUAUUGCACAAUGGGGGAAACCCUGAUGCAGCGACGCCGCGUGAGUGAAGAAGUAUUUCGGUAUGUAAAGCUCUAUCAGCAGGAACGAGGCAAGACGGUACCUGACUAAGAAGCCCCGGCUAACUACGUGCCAGCAGCCGCGGUAAUACGUAGGGGGCAAGCGUUAUCCGGAAUCACUGGGUGGACAGGGAGCGGAGACGGCUGUGCAAGCCUGAAGUGAAAGGCGGGGGCCCAACCCCUGGACUGCUUUGGGAACUGGACGGCUGGAGUGCAGGAGAGGUAAGUGGAAUUCCUAGUGUAGCGGUGAAAUGCGUAGAUAUUAGGAGGAACACCAGUGGCGAAGGCGGCUUACUGGACUGUAACUGACGUUGAGGCUCGAAAGCGUGGGGAGCGAACAGGAUUAGAUACCCUUGUAGUC
rnacentral:rRNA from 1 species